rnacentral:miRNA from 1 species
UGAUUAUCCAGGUUGUCUUUGAAC